UACGAAGGGGGCUAGCGUUGCUCGGAAUCAUUGGGCGUAAAGCGCACGUAGGCGGCUUGUUAAGUCAGGGGUGAAAUCCUGGGGCUCAACUCCAGAACUGCCUUUGAUACUGGCGAGCUUGAGUCCGGGAGAGGUGAGUGGAACUGCGAGUGUAGAGGUGAAAUUCGUAGAUAUUCGCAAGAACACCAGUGGCGAAGGCGGCUCACUGGCCCGGUACUGACGCUGAGGUGCGAAAGCGUGGGGAGCAAACAGG
rnacentral:rRNA from 1 species